rnacentral:lncRNA from 1 species
AGUGUGAGUUCCUCUGGAAGAAGGCCUUUGUAUGCAUCAUGCUGAGCCACCAGAACCUUUGCUAUGCCAGCUACUUUACAUAGAUCCUGUACCACCUUGUCACACUUGGUUCCAGCUACUAAGCAGGACACUUCACCUCCAAGAUGUCCAGCUGCAGUGAUAGUAUUUAGAGUAAUGGGUGCUAGGGAAUCAUUUGCAUGCUCAGCUAUUACCAAGGUACUCUGAAAACGGAGCAAUGAGGCCGCCCUACCCUCAGCCUCAGAGACCCG